rnacentral:lncRNA from 1 species
AGACUACUCCAUAAACUGAGCUAAGCAGCGUGGGGCUUGAGAGGCUGAGUCCGACUUUGAAAGAAGUUCUAAUGUGGGGAAAACGCAAUCAGCAUUGCAUGCUACAGAGAAAUCGUGCAUGACAGGAAGAGUUAAUCGAUUUGGUAGCCUUCGUCGUGGUCUUAUUUUAAGAAAUUGCCACAGCCAGCCCAGCCUUCAGCAGCCCCCACCCUGAUCCAUCAGCAGCAUCAAUGUGCAGGCAGGACCCUCCACCAGCAAAAAGACUGUGACUCACUAAAGCCUCAGAUGAUUGUUCAACCUCUUUAGCAAGAAAAUAUUUUUUAAAAUUAAGACUGGGGAGUAAUUCUAACUCCCGUGACUUCGUCGUGCCUCGAAGUAGAAGUCUAGACAUCUGGAUUUGGACAUCUGGAUUCAUCCCUUGCUGUAUCCUCUAGGUUCUUUAAGGACACCGUCAAAGAUGGUGACCGACGCAGACCCUUGUAAAACGUCACAAGACUGGCAUACUUGUAGGUGAUAAGGACGGAGAAAUAAAACAUAGGAUCUCAGCCCGGCCUUACAGCCGCCUUGUGAGAUGGGUACUACUGUUCUCCCAUUUUACGGAAUUCAGUAAGAUGCGAUAGCUUGCCCGAGGUCGUACAGCAGUAAACAGAGGUCCGCUCAGGUCUGUCCGACCCCGAAGCCCAGGAUUUAAAACACUCGGCUGUGCGGUUUUUCAUCGGUAAUCUUCACGGCCUGGAGAUAAAGCGCCCUGUGUGGGGAUUCGCCCAUUUAAUUAAGCAAGUCUCAAACAGAAGCCUGGAACAGAGGCAUUUCCUGUAUUUGCUUAAAAGACUCUGCGGCGGGGCUCAAAACACUCAAAUGUUCAAGUUUGGCCUCAGAGUGCCCAAUUUCUCUCUUCCUGUUGUCUAAACAGGAACUGUGAUGGAUUUAAAAUGAAAGACUUCAAUGGGAGAAAAUACCCUCCUAAGCUACCUUUCUGUGCGUUGUGGCAUCAGUUGCCGCGCUUUCCAGGAGCCGGCGCUCCCUCCUCCUGCGGCAGGAAUCUGCCAGUUGAUGGAAAAUCGUGCAGCGGCCGGAUGUUUCCAAGGCAGAUGCGUCUCACUGAUGCAUCUGGACAGGAAACCUUAAAUACGGUUUUCUUUCUUAAAAAAAGAAACCCGACCACAUAUGUUUUUAUUUUCUUCCCAGCCCUUGCUGUACGAACACAGGCCGUGUACUGCGGGUCCCUUCCCGGGAGAGCAGAGGACUUGGCGGGAGCGGGCGGCCGGCCAGUCCUUUCCGGAUGAAGAUGCAGAGAUUUUCACCGCCGAUGCUUUUCUAAAGUUGUUCACUGGUCCUCCUCUACGUGAAAGAUGGGACAAGUUGGCAACUUCUCUUGAAAAAAAUGUGGGCCGUGCUUCUUUUUCCGGAAAGAGUUCAUAGUUUCCUAUCAGCAGCAUUUUAUAGGGAGAUCAUGAAGCCAGUCGUCCAGACGCCGGGUUCUCGGCGGGUCAUUCCUCUUACGAGACACCUUGAACUGUCAGAUGUAACUAGUCUUCAAAGAAUGCAGAACUCUUAGGAGGACGACGGCCCUUCCUUCCAAGAUGUUUGUGAAAUUGCUGAGGGAUAAAGGGUUGAUGAACUUGAUAGAUUCUUCCCUGGAGAUGGAGGCAUUAAAUACUGACGCCAACCGUACAGCCAAAUGUGGAGCAAUAAACACUCUCCCU